CUCCGGGUAAACCGGAGCUAAUACCGGAUAACAUUUUCUCUUGCAUAAGAGAAAAUUGAAAGAUGGUUUCGGCUAUCACUUACAGAUGGGCCCGCGGUGCAUUAGCUAGUUGGUGAGGUAACGGCUCACCAAGGCAACGAUGCAUAGCCGACCUGAGAGGGUGAUCGGCCACACUGGGACUGAGACACGGCCCAGACUCCUACGGGAGGCAGCAGUAGGGAAUCUUCCGCAAUGGACGAAAGUCUGACGGAGCAACGCCGCGUGAGUGAUGAAGGCUUUCGGGUCGUAAAACUCUGUUGUUAGGGAAGAACAAGUACAAGAGUAACUGCUUGUACCUUGACGGUACCUAACCAGAAAGCCACGGCUAACUACGUGCCAGCAGCCGCGGUAAUACGUAGGUGGCAAG
rnacentral:rRNA from 1 species